ensembl:lncRNA
CUUUAGCUGAUUGGGGCCUAUAGAUGAGAGUCGAACAACAGACAAUGCCGCGAAAAUGGUAAAGGCUGCUGCCCAGAACAAGUGGACCUGAUUGCAGUGCUUUGGCCACAGACUAUAUCUUGCAGUUGGUUUCCAUGAAGUUAGCAUCUCAUCCGCAACCAAUGUACAACAUCAUCCUGAAAAUAUUGCCGCUGUUAAGCCACAGCGUUUACCACUUCUCACUCUGUAGAGUCUGAUGAAGCAGUUUAUCAAAAAAGAUGGAGGAACACACCUACCGGGUCUUUGACACAGAGGCUUUGUUACUGAGCAGGAUCAUUUUCAUUCAUUUAAUUAAAAUCUUAGUUUGUCAUUUGGAGUACAAUUCUCCACAGUACACCAUCUAACAGACCCUGACAUAAGCAGCGCAUUGGAAUUAUUAUAUAAUUAGGUACUAAAUACGUAAUACAUUCUGCGCUUGUCUCUGG